rnacentral:rRNA from 1 species
UACGAAGGGGGCGAGCGUUGUUCGGAUUUAUGUACGUGGGCGUAAGGGCGCGUACGGCGGCCUACUAAAGUCGGGACGUCGAAACUCCCUCGGACUCAACCGGAGGAACUGCGUCCGAAUACUGGGUGGGCUUGAAUCCGGGAGAGGGAUGAUGGAAUUCCAGGUGUAGCGGUGAAAUGCGUAGAUAUCUGGAGGAACACCGGUGGCGAAGGCGGCAUCCUGGACCGGUAGUUGAACGGCUGAUGGCGC